AUCUCUCCCCCUUCAUAUGUGUGUGUGUGUGUAGUAUUUGCUCUUAUCAGCUUAAUAUCUGAUACGAUCCCCAUGUGGGAUCUAUGAUAUUAGUUUGAUUUUUGUACUAUGGUGAAGUGCUAGGGGCUUGCUCCAUCUUUGCCGAUUGGCCCAGUAUUGCAGUACUUCAGGGAUCGGUCCUGUG